rnacentral:rRNA from 1 species
UUAAAAAAUUUGGCGGUAUUUUAGUCUUUUCAGAGAGAACGCUGUUCUAUAAUUGAUAGUCCACGAUUAAUUGUACUUACUUUAAAAAUUUAUAUAUCGUCGUAGUUUGAAUGUUUUAUUAGAAUAUUUAAUGUUCAUGAUUUAAUAUAAUAAAAAAAAUCAGAUCAAGGUGUAGUUUAUAAGUAAGAAGAAAUGGGUUACAUUUAAUUUAUUAAUGGAUAAUUAUAUGAAAUUAAAAUUUGAAAUUGGAUUUGAAAGUAAAUUUAAAAAUUUAUUUAAAUUGAUUUAAGCUCUAAAAUAUGUACAUAUUGCCCGUCACUUUCGUUUUAAAAUGAGAUAAGUCGUAACAAAGUAGAUUUACUGGAAAGUGAAUCUAGAAG